rnacentral:rRNA from 1 species
GACGAACGCUGGCGGCGUGCUUAACACAUGCAAGUCGAACGGAAAGGCCCUGCUUUUGUGGGGUGCUCGAGUGGCGAACGGGUGAGUAACACGUGAGUAACCUGCCCCUGACUUUGGGAUAACUUCAGGAAACUGGGGCUAAUACCGGAUAGGAGCUCUUGCUGCAUGGUGGGGGUUGGAAAGUUUCGGUGGUUGGGGAUGGACUCGCGGCUUCUCAGCUUGUUGGUGGGGUAGUGGCUUACCAAGGCUUUGACGGGUAGCCGGCCUGAGAGGGUGACCGGCCACAUUGGGACUGAGAUACGGCCCAGACUCCUACGGGAGGCAACGGUGGAGAAUAUUACACAGUGGGCGGAAGCCUGAUGCAGCGACGCCGCGUGCGGGAAAACGGCCUUCGGGUUGUAAACCACUUUCGCCUGUGACGAGGCGUUAGUGACGGUAAUGGGUAAAGAAGCACCGGCUAACUACGUG